CCUACGGGAGGCAGCAGUGAGGAAUAUUGGUCAAUGGGCGCGAGCCUGAACCAGCCAAGUAGCGUGAAGGAUGACUGCCCUACGGGUCGUAAACUUCUUUUAUAAGGGAAUAAAGUGAGGCACGUGUGCCUUUUUGUAUGUACUUUAUGAAUAAGGAUCGGCUAACUCCGUGCCAGCAGCCGCGGUAAUACGGGGGAUCCGAGCGUUAUCCGGAUUUAUUGGGUUUAAAGGGUGCGUAGGUGGGUUGUUAAGUCAGUUGGUAAAGUUCGCGGCUCAACCGUAAAAUUGCAAUUGAUACUGGCAGCCUUGAGUACAGUUGAGGUAGGCGGAAUUCGUGGUGUAGCGGUGAAAUGCUUAGAUAUCACGAAGAACUCCGAUUGCGAAGGCAGCUUACUAGACUGACACUGACACUGAUGCACGAAAGUGUGGGUAUCAAACAGGAUUAGAUACCCGUGUAGUC
rnacentral:rRNA from 1 species